rnacentral:rRNA from 1 species
UACGAGGGGGCAAAUGUUGUUCGGAAUCACUGGGCGUAAAGGGAGCGUAGGCGGGUUCUUAAGUUAGGUGUUUAAUCCCGGGGCCCAACCCCGGACCGGCACUUAAAACUGGGAAUCUUGAAUAGUGGAGAGGUCAGUGGAAUUGGGGGUGUAGCGGUGGAAUGCGUAGAGAUCCCCAAGAACACCAGUUGCGAAGGCGGCUGACUGGACACAUAUUGACGCUGAGGCUCGAAAGCAUGGGGAGCAAACAGG